rnacentral:lncRNA from 1 species
CUCCACCGUACACAUAAAAAUGACAUACUCUUAAAACAAUAAAUGCAUUGCGGUGUUUUUAAAAAAUCUCUUCGAGUCAGGUGAGGUGGAGGUAAAGAGGAAGGCUGUGACCCAGGGGGAUGGGCUGAGGACCUGGGGCUGGAUAAGGCUUCAAGAGAGUGGGUGUGUACAAAGAAGAAAAGAGGACCAAGGACAGGGCCCUGGGCUCUCCAAGGUUAAGGGUGCGAAAAAGGACUAACAAGAAAUUCAUGAAAAACAGCUGAAGGAGGAACACCAAGCCUGCAUGGUGUUUCUGGAGGCUAAGGGAAGAAAGGGUAACUCACUGCUGUGUUAGUGUGUAUUUUUCUUUUCGUAUAUGUAUCGGCCGUUUGAAUCCUGUGAAUUUUCUAGUCAUACUCUUUACCCAUUUUUCUCUCGUAUUUGUCUUUUUGCGGACUUACAGGAGCUCUUACUAGGCUCUGAACACAAAGUCGUUGUUAAUAUAUCGCGAAUAUGUUCUGCCAGCCUUGUCCUUUAAUUCACCCUAGGGAGUCUUAGAUAUGAGAAGUUCGUAACCUCUAUUUUGUUUUAGAGAUUUCAUUUAUUUAUUUGAGGGAGAGAGAGCACGAGCGGAGGGAGGGGCAGAAGCAGAGGGAGAAGCAGACUCCUUUCUGAGCAGGGAAACCAACACAACACGACCCCAGGAGCUCAGGACCCCGGGAUCAUGACCUGAGCCAAAGGCAGACACUUAGCUGACUGAGCCACCCAGGUGCUCCAGUUUGUAAUCUUUAAGUAGACGGGUCUGUCCGUUUUUUCCCUUUACUGUUUCUGGGUUUUGUGUCUUACUUAGGCCUUUCCCACUCCUGAGACAUUAAAAAAAUAUUCUUCUAACCACAAGGUCCAGGAGAAAACGUGGGAGACUUUUCACUACAGGAGCCCGAUCAGUUCUUGGUCCAUAAUGGGUAUAUGGUCCCUGUGCAAAAAAAUGGCCAUACCAGUAUCUUUCAUAUGGCACCAAGGAUGGGCCUGGAAGUUGAAGACAAUGUGAGCUUGUUGAUGGAGGUGGAUACAGUUAGCAGGAAAGAGGUUGUCCAGCCAUUUGAGGACAUCUCCAGAGUUCCUAGAGCCAAGAGUCGCAAGAGAAAUACCUCAUCUCUCCCCCAGUCCUCCAUAAUUGUAUUCACGCCUUCAUUUUUAACAGCUUUAUUGAGAUAUAUUUCACAUAUCAAUUUACCCAUUUAGCGUAUACAAUUCAUAAACACAUGAAUUAUCACUACAGUAAAUUUUAGAACGUUUUUAUCACAUUAGAAAGAAAUCCCAUACCCGUUAGCUACUAUCUCUCUAUCCACUCCCUGCCCCUUCCUCAGCCCUAAGCAACCACUGAUCUACUUUUUGUCUAUAGAUUUCCCUGCUUGGGACACUUCAUAUGAAUGAAAUCAUAUAAUAUGUGUCUUUUAUGACUGGCUUCUUUCACUUAGCAUCAUAUUUUCAACACUUAUGCAUGAUGAAGCCUUUAUUGGUACUUCAUGCUUUUCUUACAGCUGACUAAUGUUCUAUUGUAUAGAUAUAUGACAUUUUUAACCAUUUGUCAUUUGAUGGACAUUUGGAUUAUUUCUGCAUUUUGGCAAUUAGGAAUAAUGCUGCUAUAAAUACUGUUUGCAAGUUUUCAUGUGGACAUAUGUUUUCAUUUUUCUUGGGUAUAUACCUAGGGAGUGGAAUUGCUGGGUCAUACGGUAACUCUCUUUAAUUGUUUGAGGAACUGCCAGAUUGAGGUCAUGGUCUUUUAAUUAACUUAAAAAUUAUACCUGUUCUUUGAAAAAUAUUUUAAAAUAACAAAAAAUUUUGUAAAAGAUUUUAUUUAUUCAUUUGAAAGAGAGAGCACAAGUACGGAGAGAGGCAGAGGGAAAGGGAGAAGCAGACUCCCAGCUGAGCCGGGAGCCUGACAUGGGGCUCGAUUCCAGGACCUGGAGAUCAUGAUCUGAGCUGAAGGCAGAUGCCCAACCACCUGAGCCACCCCAGCGCCCCAAAAUACCAAAAAUUUUGAGGAUAGAAACAUUUAAUUCCACUACUUAGAGAAUAUCCUUGUGGGAUACUUUUCUGUGCAUAUUGUUUUUAAUGGGACCACACUUGGCAUGAUAUUUUGUAGCCCAUAUUGUGAUCAUCUUUUCAUGUCAAUGAUUAUUUCCAUCAGUGAGUUUCAAACUUAUUUUACUCUAGGAACCCCUUCUUCAAAAGACCAUUUUCCAAAAGCCCAAUAUAUAAUCACUCAGAUAUCAACAAUUACUAAUUACCUGGCACCCCUGCCAGGUGCCAAGCAUCCCUGCCUGCCCCCAUGCCUGUUCUCUUUAAAAGUUGCAGGUAUUACAAACUAUAGAGGAGUCACCUCAUUAGCUGCUCCCCUAUAAGAACACCCAGCUUGCUCUCUGUGUUUCAUUGCUAUUAACGGUGACUCAAGGAACAUACAUCUGUGUGUACUUUUAUCAUCUUUUUAAGAGAAAUCCCUAGAGGUGCCUGGGUGGCUCAGUCAGUUAAGCAUCUGCCUUUGGCUCAGGUCAUGAUCCCAGGGUCCUAGGAUUGAGCCAGGUGUCCUCCGUGGGCUCCCUGCUCAGCGGGGGGGGGGUUGUCCGCCUCUCGCUCUCCUUCUGCCCCUUCCCCCACUUGCAAGCUCUCUCUCUCUCACUCUCUCUCUCUGUCAAAUAAAUAAAAUAUUAAAAGAGAGAGAGAGAGAAAU